GACGAACGCUGGCGGCGUGCCUAAUACAUGCAAGUCGAACGAAGCUGUUUUAACUGGUGCUUGCACCGACUUAAACAACUGAGUGGCGAACGGGUGAGUAACACGUGGGUAACCUGCCCCAAAGCGGGGGAUAACAUUUGGAAACAGAUGCUAAUACCGCAUAACCACAGAAACCACAUGGUUUCUGUGUCAAAGAUGGUUUCGGCUAUCACUUUGGGAUGGACCCGCGGCGUAUUAGCUAGUUGGUAAGGUAAUGGCUUACCAAGGCAAUGAUACGUGGCCGAACUGAGAGGUUGGUCGGCCACAUUGGGACUGAGACACGGCCCAAACGCCUACGGGAGGCAGCAGUAGGGAAUCUUCCACAAUGGACGAAAGUCUGAUGGAGCAACGCCGCGUGAGUGAAGAAGGUUUUCGGAUCGUAAAACUCUGUUGUCAGAGAAGAACGUGUGCGAGAGUAACUGCUCGUGCAGUGACGGUAUCUGGCCAGAAAGCCACGGCUAACUACGUGCCAGCCGCCGCAGUAA
rnacentral:rRNA from 1 species